AUUCGUCCAAGUGAAGUAGAGGACAGUGGCGGACGGGUGAGUAACGCGUGAGGAACCUGCCUUUCAGAGGGGGAUAACAGUUGGAAACGACUGCUAAUACCGCAUAAGCGCACGGCAUCGCAUGAUGCAGUGUGAAAAACUCCGGUGGUAUAAGAUGGACCCGCGUUGGAUUAGCUAGUUGGUGAGAUAACAGCCCACCAAGGCGACGAUCAGUAGCCGACCUGAGAGGGUGACCGGCCACAUUGGGACUGAGAUACGGUCCAAACUCC
rnacentral:rRNA from 1 species